UGGACUUAGAAUUGGAAGAUCUCAAUUUGAGCCCCAAGUGUGCUAUUCAAUGACUUUGACCAUGGACCCAUCUCUUAGUGAUUAAUGUCUUUGUCUCAGGGUCCUCCUCCAUUCAUUCACCUUCCUCGUGAAUAUCAAAAGAUAAGAUGUGAAGACAGAGGGGAAGAGUGGUUAUCUUGGCAAAGAAAAAUCAGACCCCAAAUCUGCUGGAUGGUGUAAAUAAAAAAUACAGGGCACACUCCUGCCACAGCAUGCUUACUUGGUGUGGGAAAUGGACAGAUUUUAAAAGCUAAUUAGAUAAUUUAAAAAUUUUACAACUA